rnacentral:lncRNA from 1 species
AACAAAAUCGUUGUUAGAUUAAUUACAGGUAAAUAAUGAAAUGAAUAUAGUAUUUGUAAUUUUUUUUUUCAAUAAAGGAAAUUGUAUUGCUAAAACAAUGGCCAAAAUGCACGUUAAAUCAUAUGUCGGGCUUUAUACAAUCUGUCGAUAGAGACCUACAAACAUCAUGACCGGUAUCCUCAUUAAUAAUAAGCUCGAGAAAAGCUUCGAUUCAAGCAUAUGAAAUAACACAUAACACCUAAUUUUCGGACAAGAGUAAACUAGCUACCUAAGACCUCAAUUUGUGUACACCUAGUAAACUAAGAAACCUAGUACGAUUGCUUCAUCUCAUGUUCGAGCGACAUUGCCUGAUAUCACUACUGGAAAAUGCUUCUUAGCCGACGAAACAAAAUCAAUCCGUCAGCUAAUUAAGACAAACUUAAGCGACGAAACAGCUUUCCGUCGUCUACGAUUUGACUUUCGUCGCCUAAGGUACACUUAGGAGACGAAAACCAACCCACCGACACAUUCCGUCGUUUAGGAUUAACUUAGGCGACGAUUCAACUUUUGUUGGCUAAGAUCUAUCGCCUAGGUCGACACCAACAAUCUCAUCAACCCCGGACUGACCGUCGGCGCCCAUCCAUCCUCAAAGGCAAUCUUCGGCAACCCAUGCCCAAUCAACGUCAGAAACAAACCCCAGACACUACCAGAGGAAAGGCUUUAGCCGACGAAAAUAAAAAAACCAGGCCAACGAAUUAUUUUUUCAUCGGCUAAUGUGGACUUUAGCCUACGGAAUUUUCCUUCGUCGGCUAAUUUAAAUUUUUAUCGGCUUUGGUCAACUUCCUUCGUCUGAAUAAUCUUUUUCGUCGGCUAUAAUCUGUGAACUUUAGUUAACGAAAUUUUUAAAAGUUUAGCCGACGAAAAAUAUAAUUUUGUCGGCUAAAGUGCUUUAAUUUCGUCGGCUAAAGUGUCUUAUAUUUGCAGAUCUUGACAACAACUCAUCUGGGAAAAAAAAACUAUACGUAGAACCUUCAAACUCAAAAAAGUCGUGAAAUAAGAUAUGACCAGAAUGGUGAAAUACGACUAUAGUUGAAAAAUCACGGUAUUCCGGUAAAUUCUCGGUGCCGAUAGUUGCGGUCAAUGCAAUUUACCCUUAUUAUUCACUAUGCUGCAAAUUUGGUGUUUGGAGUCCGAUUGACUAUUGUGAUACCUUUUUGGAAGUGUAACGGCCGAACGAGUCAAACUCAUUGUUAUGCUAUGACAUAUGGGCUUUUUUGGCCAUCCGAGUCCGUUUAGGGCUUCAAAAUGCAGUUUUCUUAUUUUCGAUUAGAGUUGACCGUUUCGAUCGAGCCCUUAACGUUGUCGAAUCUAGUUGAAUUUUUUACCAUAGACAUCUUUCGUCAUAAUGAUCAUAUCUGAUGGUCAAAUUUUGUAUGUGAAUUUUAGUCAUCGGAAUCACAACGUGUCUACUAUUUACCGUUAUUAUUCCCUAUGGGGAGCCCUAUCGUCGGAAGGUAAAUGUCUCAAAUUUUUAUAUGGGCAGUUGCGUGUCAUCUACGUGAGAGUUUUUCGUGUGGAAGGUUUGACCUAACUACGUAAUAUAGGGGGAGAUAUGAGCGUUUUCGUGUGAUAAGUGACGAUGGAUUAGGGUUGCCGUUUCGAUCAAGCCCUUAACGUUGUCGGAUCGAGUUGAAUUUUUUACCAUAGACAUCUUUCGUCAUAAUGAUCAUAUCUGACGGUCAAAUUUCGGUUUGUGAAUCUUAAUCAUCGGAAUCACAACGUGUCUACUAAUGUUGUAUAACUUGUUUAGUAGGUUAUACAACUUUGUGAACCAACUCUACAUAGGAAGCAAAAUUAUCAAAAAUAUCGUGAAAUAAGAUGUGUUCAGAAUGGUGAAAUACGGCUAUGGUUCAAAAAUCACUUAAAUCGGGUAACGUCUCGGUGCCAAUAGUAGCGGUCAACCCUAUUUACAGUUAUUAUUCCCUAUGGGGAGCCCUAUCGUCGGAAGGUAAAUGUCUCAAAAUUUUUAUAUAAACGGUUGCGUCUCAUCUACGUAAAAGUUUUUCGUGUGGAAGGUUUGACCAAACUACGUAAUAUAGAGAGAGAUAUGAGCGUUUUCGUGAAUUUAUAGACUUUAGCCGACGAGAUAUUAAAAAAGUCGUCAGUUAAUGUCAAAAUUUUUUUGGCGGUAAACCAAAUUUGGAGAAAAAUUUUCAAAGAACUUUAGCCGACGAAAAUAUAUGAAAAGUCAUCGGCUAAAGUCGAAAAAUUUUCAACCAAAAUUUUUUGGCGAUCAACCAAAAUUUUCAAAAGAGUUUAGCCGACAAAAAUAAAUAAUUUCGUCAGGUAAAGUUCUUUAUAUAGGAGUUUUACCGAAUGUGGAUGGUAAGAAGUCAGAAAAUCAGAAAAAGUUCCGGAUUUUCUUCUCGGCCUAGCUCCGCCGUCAAUCCACCGGAGACCGCCACACUUAUCCCAAAAGCUUCGCCGUCGUCUCUACUUCAUUGCUGGACAGGUGGUGCAUCGAGUGGCGCCGCCGUAAGGGAUAAAUCGAGCUCCAAAACUCUGCCGGUUCGGAUUCGGUGUCGAUCGAAUUUCUCCUUCCUCAGGUCACCAUUUGGUGAGUUCUAUAUAUGGAUAAGUUGAGUUUGAUUAGUACUACAUUCCCCUAGAAUUUGGUAGCUCGAUUCGGUGUGUGUGAAGAGAAUCGAAGAUUUGAAGUUUUUAGGGUUUGAAAUUGGGGAUUUUUAUAUUUUGAUUCAAUUGACCUGUUUAGGCUUAGAAUUGGGCUUCGACUUCUUUUAGAAAGUUGUUCGAAAUGUUGAGAGGAAGAUUCUGUCAAAUUUUGGUGGUGAUUGGAGGUGGCCGAAAGAUUCUGCAGUUUUUUUUUUCAAAAACCAGCAACUUUAGCCGACGAUAUUUAAAUACUAUAUUCGUCGGCUAUAGUAUUUUUUAAUUUUUAUAAGGUUUAGCCGACGAAACAGACUAUAUUUCGUCAGUUAUAGUUAUUUUUAAAUUUUUAUAAGGUUUAGCCGACGAAACAGACUAUAUUUCGUCGGCUAUAGUUAUUUUUUAAAUUUUUUAUAAGGUUUAGCCGACGAAACAGAUUAUAUUUCGUCGGCUAUAGUUUGGGAAAAUUUUUUUUAUUUACAGACUUUAGCCGACGAAUAUCUUAAUAUUCGUCGGCUAAAGUCUGGGAAAAAAACCGACGACAUGUUUUCGUUGGCUAAAUUGUGGGACUAUAGCCGACGAAAUUUUUUUUUUCGUCGGCUAAAGUCAUUGUCGACGACCUUUUCCCGACGAAAUCUUAGCCGACGAUGGCUCGUCGGCUAAGAUCUUAGUCGACGAAUUAAGCUAACAGGCCGACGAAACUUUUUCGUCGGCUAAAGUGCUUGUCCUGGUAGUGAAAGCCAGUCCGCCCCACCAUUGCCUUGGGUUCCUCCGACGAAUUACCACCACGUCUUAGAUUAAGCUCGACGUCACUCUGCCGACCCAUCCACUCACGACCCUAAAGCCUCUAGGAUUAGGUCGGACAAAUCCGUUCCACCACUAACCCGCCUAAGCACCUCAGCACCGCCCUGAUCCAAAAGAGCCAGGUUCGCUCUACCAUCACUAGCCUCGAGCAUGACCCAAGCACAAUCCUUAACUUAGACACAAUCACCGCGCUCCGGCCAAUCUAGUGCGGCAACACCACCUAACCGACCGACUCCAAAGACCUCGACGUUAGCCGCUGCCUCCCAAGCUUGAUGGCCGCCAUUUCGGAAACACCCUCAGCAACCUCGGUCAAAAACCACAGUAACUAAAGCCGUUGAGAAAACUUGGUUUAGAUUCCGAUGUCGUAGCUUGAGUGAGCAUAUGUUGUUGUCAUCCCGCCACUUUUGAUCUGGUUAGCACAAAGCUCGCAACCAACUUCACGAAACCUAGGAACCUAGGUUUCGCUGGCUGUUCCAAUUAAGACGCUACGCAAGUUUUGGAGCAUCCUAGCUAGAUUGGCUUCCCCUAUAGUAAAUUUGUUCUUAAAAUUGUAAUUCUAAAUGAUAAAAAAGUGUAAUUUUUGUUCAAAUAGAUGUAAAAUGAGUCAUGAGUGUAUGAAAAAUAGUUCUCUCUAUGUCUAAAGAACUUCACGGCUUCUAUAUAACUGACUAAAAAUAAUAGGAACCCUAACAUUGUCUUGAACUACUCCACCUCGUUAGGUUCAAACUGUGGAUCUCAAAUAUAUAAAAUAUCUCUUGAGUAAAAUUCUCUACUGCUGAUAGACCAAAAUAGGGAUCCCAAUUAAAUUGCAUGAGCUUACGAGAAAAAAAAACUCUAUUGGAAUUGGUUUCUAUUUCAAAGACUUCUCUCAUCUUUUUAACUGUGAGAUUAUGAUCCUGGUUAUCAGUAUAUCUUAAAUAUAUCUAUCACUACCAUAAAAAAUCUCACAACCUCUCAUUGUAUCCACGAAAAUUCUCCAAGCAAUUCUUGUUAUGAAGAUUACUUGUUGGUCGUUUUUCUGAUAUAUCGGUUCAUCAAUAGUACAUGUUAAGCCUCCUUACUUCAAUUCAUCUUCUCCUUCCUCCUUGUUCAAGCAUGAAGAGACCAACUAGAAAUUCACCACCUGCCAAUUGGCUCAACCUUCUUCUAAAUUAAUAGUUAUGUUUCAUGUUGUUUC